rnacentral:rRNA from 1 species
UACGGGGGGGGCAAGCGUUGUUCGGAAUUACUGGGCGUAAGGGGCUCGUAGGCGGCCAACUAAGUCGGAUGUGAAAUCCCCAGGCUUAACCUGGGAACUGCAUCCGAUACUGGAUGGCUUGAAUCCGGGAGAGGGAUGCAGAAUUCCAGGUGUAGCGGUGAAAUGCGUAGAUAUCUGGAGGAAUACCGGUGGCGAAGGCGGCAUCCUGGACCGGCAUUGACGCUGAGGAGCGAAAGCUAGGGGAGCAAACGGG